rnacentral:rRNA from 1 species
CAGCAGCCGCGGGAAUACGGAGGGGGCUAGCGUUGUUCGGAAUUACUGGGCGUAAAGCGCACGUAGGCGGCUUGGUAAGUUAGAGGUGAAAGCCCGGAGCUCAACUCCGGAAUUGCCUUUAAGACUGCCGAGCUAGUAGGUGAGAGAGGUAAGUGGAAUUCCGAGUGUAGAGGUGAAAUUCGUAGAUAUUCGGAAGAACACCAGUGGCGAAGGCGGCUUACUGGCUCAUUCUAGACGCUGAGGUGCGGAAGCGUGGGGAGCAAACAGGAUUAGAUACCCGAGUAGUCCCUGUCUCUUAUAC